rnacentral:rRNA from 1 species
CCAAGUCAGGUGGGACUACCC